UUAGAAUUAUAGGCGUGAGUCACCAUGCCUAGCCUAAAGUAUUUUAAUACCGACAAAAAUAUUUCCUUAAACAGGAUUUGAAUUCUGAGCUUUCCAUCUACCAGCACUAUAUAUUCCCUUUCCAGGUAGCAGUUUGGCUACUCUAGUCUAGUGCCUUCAGAAUUCUGAAAAGCUCUUCUGGGCUUUCACUUUCCAUUUCAUCAAAGAGAAAAAGAGAUUCAGUCUUCCUUUAUGGGAACCCCAUUUGGGAUCAGAGUUUGGCUCUCAGGCCACGGUCUAAAACAUAUACAUACCAUAUGUGUUCAAUAAAUGUUCAUUUUUUUCUUUCUCAUCCUUUGUUCUCUACUCUCUUAUUUCCAAUCCAGUUUGCAUGUCCAAUUAUCAGGUCUAUCAGAAUAAGCCUUAAAAUACCAAUUUCAUUAGGUGACUUUCUUGCUCAAAAUCUUCCAGUGACUCCCAGCUGCCCAUAGAAUGUAGCCUGAACUUCUCUUCCUGGUAUUCAAGGCCCUCUGUAAUCUGACUACAAUAUACUUUAAAAUUCUCUAACACACUUUAAAGACAAAUUUCUAUUGGGCCAAUCUUCUCACCAAUUCCUGCCUUUAAGUGCCAGGCCCUAACCAAAUUUCUCACUGGGCCUGAGUUUAGGCAUAUCUUUUGCAAGAGGAUUGGCUGCUCCACUCCUGCCCCGAUAGAUCACAGUAGCCUUAGUAUAGCUACCAGGUAAGGGUGCCUCCUGUAUAUCAUGCACUUUUCAUACAUUAUCUUUUUUCAUCAUCAUAAUAACUUGUAAAGACCACAUUCUGAUUCCAUUUUACAAAUAAGGAAGUUGGAGCUCAGUGACAUUGUGACGUAAGACCAUGUUGUUGUUAUGAAGUGGUGAAAACAGGAUUCUCUCCUAAGACGGUUGCUAGAGCCAUUGCUCUGCCCCUGCCUCUAUGCUGACUUCAUUCAUCUCUUCUGCUCUGAACCUUGUCCAGUUUUAUCUUUGGAAUCACUUAUUUGACACUUACACUCCUUCUGUCUUGAACUGGUAAUUACAUGAUCCAUUUGUGCUUAUCUUCCCAACACGGCUGUUAGAGGGCAGUGGCUUCAUGCUAUUAACAAAUCACCUCCAUCAGCAUUGAGCAUAGUACUAUGGCAUAGCACAAAUGCAGUGGGGGUGUCUAAUUCUUCUGAAAAUGUGACAGCUCUUCGACCUGACAGCCCUUCUGCCCUGACUGGUCACAUGUGAGGGAAUGUGUGUACUGUCUGGUGACUGCUAAAUGUGGCCCAGGCAUUCACUUACCCAGUGCACAAGACCCAGCAGCAUCACCAGCAAGCUUGUGGAGUAAAUCAGAUGAACAGUGUGUGAGAAUUGGAAAACGUGUCCCAAAGAAUAAGCACAACAGAAUGGCGUACCUUCUUUCAACCCAGUUCAGUUUAACACAAGAGACUUCACACGGUUAAUUCCAUGUGGAAAGGACAUUUUCUUGCUGGAAACAAAUUUUAAUCUUUGUGAGUCUGGAAUUCACUAGGAAGAACACAAGAUAUGAUACCAAGAAUGUCUGCCCAGCCUUGCCAUUAGAAGUCUUGUGACAUGGAACUCUGUCUGGCACACUCAUAACCUUAAUGCAAGAGGAUGGUGAAGAGGAAUGUUUAGUGACCUGAGUGUAGAUUAUUGGUACUAAUAGUAACAAUCACAGUAACAACAAACAGUGGUAUAGUGCAUACCAUGUGCUAUUCACUGUGCUAUGCACUCUUCAUAACCUAUAUUAACUUAUUUAGUCGUCACAACAGACCUGAGGGUCAGUCUACAGAGGUUAAAUCACUUGUGCAAGCUUACAUAGCCGAAGUAGGAUUCAAACCCAGGCAGUCUGGGUUUCUGGUGCUCUAAACCACCAUGUUUCACUGCCAUUAGCUAUCGUCUCCUCCUUGUUUUGUUCCCAAAUGACAGAAUAAUGUUAAAGAGUGAGCAGAAAGGCAGCAGGGCAUAGUGAAUGGAAGGCAUGCAUCAGCUGGAAUCAUGAAUCUUGCCUGGUUCAGCCUCCUGCACCAAGCUGCCUAAUCUGAGUCUAUCUCUUUAAAAAAUUUCUGAUAAUGAUAAUGACUACCUUAUGUCAGAAAAUUAGAUAAAAUGCACAGACAAAAUGCUCUCUCUCAGUGGAGGGGUUAUAGGUCAUUUUGUUGAUGUUUUUGUUUUAUUUGAGGUCAUUUUAAUUUCCUUCUUUUGGGUUUUCAGUAUUUUAAAAAAUUCUUUGAUUGGCAUGUAUUCAUUCAUAGAUUCAGCAUUCAGCAAAUGUUUAUUUACUCCUGUUACAGGCUAUAGAUGUUAAACAGGAAAAAAUAAAACACAAUAGAAAAUAUUUUGAUAUGUGUACAUGAGUCCGCAAACACUCGAAUGUCACAUGCAAAGGUAGUCAUAUAAUGGAGGUAAGGAAUUUCUUUCUCUAAAAUUCUAUGUUUAAUGUUGUUUCUGUGGCCACUUUUGAGAUCAGCAAAUAAAAAGAAGUCUUAAAAACACCUUUAAGUACUUAAGAGAAGCAAGAUCUUACCAGGAUAUCUUAUUCCCCCAAUAAUGGUGGACAAAUGAGGUGUUGAUUAGACAUUUUCAAAAUGGCACAAAAGGCAGUCAUGAGCACUGCUUUCUAACAGCUCCAGAUUAAGUGGCAGCAAACCUCACCAGCAACAGUCUGGCUAAAUAGCUGUCGUGAUUAAACGAAUCAAGAUAGGUUGUAGAGGAGGCCAUGAGGAAUACUUCAAGAUGACAAAGCUCAGAAUUGGAUUAGAUUAUUCUAGUUCAAUAAAACAGAUAACAUCUCUAUGUCUGGAACUGAAAAUUACAGCCAUCCCCUUGAAGCUGGAGAGUUUUGCACACAGUGGUGGGAGGCUAUGAAGAAAGAACAAAAACCAGGAAAAAGCCAGGCAGAUAAUGCACCUGAUUGCCGACACCAUCUCUGGCCUCAUUCCAACCCAUUCUCCACAUUGAGGUCAGUGUUUUAUAAAACACAGAUAUGAUCAAGUUACUCAUAGGCUGAAAACCCUUUCAUGGCUUCUCACUGCUUUGUUACCUCAAAUGUUUUAUUUCGAUGGCCCUCCAGGCCCUGGGUCAUCUGGCUCCUGCCUCUCUUCUCUUUGGGCUUCAGCCAUGCUGCCUGCAUUCCUCCAACUCCCAGUGCCCCUUCUUGCUUCCUCUAAAGCUGCUCACAUCUUCUGUCUCCCCAUUUCCUGUCGUCUGUCAGGUGGAAGCUUAGGGAGACCUUCCCUGGACACAUCUUGAUUAGGUCAGAUCUCCUGGUAGGCGCUCUCUCAAAACAUCAGGUUAUUUUCCUUCAUAGCCUUUAUUACAAUUUCAUAAUUAACACUGUGUGAUUGUUUUAUUUCUGUCCAUCUCCUGGCUAAAUUGCAAGUUCCAUGAGGGCAGAGACCACAUCUAAUUUGUUCCUCACUGUAUUCCUAGUGCCUGGCACAGUGUAGGCAUUUAUGAAGAUGUAUUGAACACAAUAAUGAAUAAAUAUAAUU
rnacentral:lncRNA from 1 species